rnacentral:rRNA from 1 species
AUUGCACGCUGGCGGCAGGCCUAACACAUGCAAGUCGAACGAGUGGCGGACGGGUGAGUAAUGUCUGGGAAACUGCCUGAUGGAGGGGGAUAACUACUGGAAACGGUAGCUAAUACCGCAUACCAUCCGGUGUGCCCAGAUUGGAUUAGAUUGUUGGUGGGGUAACGGCGCACCAAGGCGACGAUCCCUAGCUGGUCGGAGAGGAUGACCAGCAACACUGGAACUGAGACACGGUCCAGACGCCGACGGGAGGCAGCAGUGGGGAAGAUUGCACAAUGGGCGCAAGCCUGAUGCAGCCAGGCCGCUUGUAUGAAGAAGGCCUUCGGGUUGUAAAGUACUUUCAGCGGGGAGGCGUUACCCGCAGAAGAAGCACCGGCUAACUCCGUGCCAGCAGCCGCGGUAAUUC